UACGUAGGGUGCGAGCGUUGUCCGGAAUUAUUGGGCGUAAAGGGCUCGUAGGCGGUUCGUCACGUCGGGAGUGAAAACUCGGAGCUCAACUCCGAGCCUGCUUCCGAUACGGGCAGACUAGAGGUAGGCAGGGGAGAGCGGAACUCCUGGUGUAGCGGUGGAAUGCGCAGAUAUCAGGAAGAACACCGGUUGCGAAGGCGGCUCUCUGGGCCUUACCUGACGCUGAGGAGCGAAAGCGUGGGUAGCGAACAGG
rnacentral:rRNA from 1 species